rnacentral:rRNA from 1 species
GACGAACCGUGCGAGCGUUGUUCGGAAUCACUGGGCAUAAAGGGCGCGUAGGCGGGCCGUCAAGUCAGGGGUGAAAUCCUCCAGCUUAACUGGAGAACUGCCUUUGAUACUGACGGCCUCGAGUGAGGUAGGGGCGUGCGGAACUGAUGGUGGAGCGGUGAAAUGUGUUGAUAUCAUCAGGAACUCCGGUGGCGAAAGCGGCACGCUGGACCUUUACUGACGCUGAGGCGCGAAAGCUAGGGGAGCGAACGGG